UGUUAAAGAUUAAGCCAUGCAUGUGUAAGUAUAAAGACCAAGAAGGAUGAAACUGCGGACGGCUCAGUACAACAGUUAUAGUCACUUUGGUUAUAAAGAUAAGGAUAACUCUGUUAAUUGUAGAGCUAACACUUGAGAAGAUCUUGUGUGGCGGUCACACAGCACACGAGAAGUCUCGCAAGCGAGACGGCAAACUAUCCCAGAUUCCUCGGGGAAUUGGUGAAGAGUGGGAUUGGGACAAUUGAAGUGUUCAGGGAACAACAAGUAACCAAUGGAAAUAUCUGACCUAUCAACUAGAUGGUAAGGUAGAGGCUUACCAUGGUGAUCACGGGUAACGAGAAAUCAGGGUUUGACAUCGGAGAGGGAGCAAGAGAAACGGCUACCACUUCCAAGGAAGGCAGCAGGCGCGAAAAUUACCCACUUCAAACACUGAGAGGUAGUGACGACAAAUAACUAAAGACCUGCACAAGUGUAGGAAUUUAAGGAAUGACCCUGCGGUAAAGCAGCAGGGGAAAGCGAUUAGAGGGCAAGUUUCGGUGCCAGCAGCCGCGGUAAUUCCGACUCUAAUAGUGUAUAGUAAAGUUGUUGUGAUUAAAAAGCUCGUAGUUGAAAGCGACAUAGAAUGGCAGCGGUGAGCUAGUCCUUUGGGACACAGUAAAGCGAUGCUAGAUUCUAGGAAAGCCUGGUGUCGGUGAUCAGUCACGGGCAUUGGGAGAUUUACUUUGAAGAAAGGUGAGUGCUCAAAGCAAGACAGAAGUCAAUGCAACUUGAAGCAUGGGAUAAUACUAAGGAGAUUGCGGAAGCCCCCAACGGGGGAGGAAGCAAUAGCGAGAGAAGGAUUGAUAGAAAGAGAGAGAGGUGAUUUAUACGAAAAUGGGAGAGGUGGAAAUCCAUGAUCAUUUUAGGAUAAACAAAAGCGAAAGCAUUUCACUAGAAACUAUUCAUUAAUCAAGAACGAAAGUUAGGGGAUCGAAGACGAUUAGAUACCGUCGUAGUCCUAACUAUAAACGAUGUCGACGAAGGAUUGGAAUGACCAAAACCCUGGGGACUCACAACGUGAGAAACCCCGGGGACUAGAAACUCAGACCAGGACUUGAAGAGAAAUCUCGAGUGAAUGGACUUCAGGGGGAGUAUGCUCGCAAGUGUGGAACUUAAAGGAAUUGACGGAAGGGCACACCAGGAGUGGAGCCUGCGGCUUAAUUUGACUCAACACGGGAAAACUUACCAAGACCAAACGCAUAGAGGAGUGACAGACUAAGGGAUUUUUCAUGAUCAUGUGAGGAGUGGUGCAUGGCCGUUCUUAGUUGGUGGAGUGAUUUGUCAGGUUGAUUCCGAUAACGAACGAGACUCUGAUCUCUAAUUCGAUGGAGGCGCAUCUGUGCCUGCAGCAGCAAUGCCCACUAUGGUGGUCCACUUAGAGAGACAUGCUUCAAUUUUCAAGCACUUGCCAUGUUCCGACAUGAGCAAGCUGUGCGAAGAAGAAGCAGGAAGAUGAGCAAUAACAGGUCUGUGAUGCCCUUAGACAUCUUGGGCUGCACGCGUGCUACAAUAGUCAUGAUAGAGGGCGGAAUGGCGGGAACCAUGAAACGCAAGUAGAAUGCACAGCAUUGGAAAGCGGGCCAUGCCUGCACACCGAGGCCGAAAGGCCAAGGGAAGCCCGAAAAGUGACUGUAACAGGGAUUGAUGAUUGGAAUUAUUUGUCAUGAACGAGGAAUUCCUUGUAAAAUUUUGUCACUAACAAAAGUUGAAUACGUCCCUGCCCUUUGUACACACCGCCCGUCGCUCCUACCGAUUGAAUAAAAAGAUGAAGCUUUAGGAGGCAACACGAUUGCCAAAUGGAUCUAAAUCUCUUUAUUUAGAGG
rnacentral:rRNA from 1 species